GGUACAGAAAACCCGGUUGAGUUUCACGAGAGUGGGAGAUGCACUGGAGGAGGAACUGGACCAAGUGUACUUGCGCCCAUGGAGAGAAAUUGCAGCUUCUCUUGAUUGUCUUGGGGACCAUACACACAAGUGAGCCACCAAGGGCUGCCACUGGCUGAGCAAAACUGAACUGAUGCACUGUGGUUGUCCUUUCGGCUUGCCUGUAUAGCACCCAGUCGACUUCUCCAAGCGAUCAGAAUUCCACCACUAGCACCGACAGAAGGGAGGCAUAUGUAAUUAUUAUCAAAAUCGCUGCCGAGCAUUGAAAGAAUUAUUUCUCUAGAGAUUGCAACCAUCUUAGUUUCUUGUAGACAAACGAUGUCAAUUUUAGUUGAGACAACCAAACUACAGACAACAUUUCUUCUUGCUA